AGAGUUUGAUCCUGGCUCAGGAUGAACGCUGGCUGUGUGCCUAAUACAUGCAUGUCGAGCGGAAGUAGCAAUACUUUAGCGGCGAAUGGGUGAGUAACACGUGCUUAAUCUACCUCUUAGAUUGGAAUACCUAAUGGAAACAUUGGUUAAUGCCGGAUACGCAUGGAGUCGCAUGACUCCGUUGUGAAAGGGGCCUUUAAAGCUCCACUAAGAGAUGAGGGUGCGGAACAUUAGCUAGUUGGUGAGGUAACGGCCCACCAAGGCUAUGAUGUUUAGCCGGGUCGAGAGACUGAACGGCCACAUUGGGACUGAGAUACGGCCCAAACUCCUACGGGAGGCAGCAGUAGGGAAUAUUCCACAAUGAGCGAAAGCUUGAUGGAGCGACACAGCGUGCACGAUGAAGGUCUUAUGGAUUGUAAAGUGCUGUUGCAAGGGAAGAAAAAGUAGUUGAGGAAAUGCUUCUACAUUGACGGUACCUUGUUAGAAAGCGAUGGCUAACUAUGUGCCAGCAGCCGCGGUAAUACAUAGGUCGCAAGCGUUAUCCGGAAUUAUUGGGCGUAAAGCGUUCGUAGGCUGUUUAUUAAGUCUGGAGUCAAAUCCCAGGGCUCAACCCUGGCUCGCUUUGGAUACUGGUAAACUAGAGUUGGAUAGAGGUAAGCGGAAUUCCAUGUGAAGCGGUGAAAUGCGUAGAUAUAUGGAAGAACACCAAAGGCGAAGGCAGCUUACUGGGUUUAUACUGACGCUGAGGAACGAAAGCGUGGGGAGCAAACAGGAUUAGAUACCCUGGUAGUCCACGCCGU
rnacentral:rRNA from 1 species